GUUCCCGGAGGAGAUCAGCUCGUCAUGCUAGAGCACUUUUUCAAUGGGCUCCCCAACGACAAGGCAACGACUCAUUUGUAUGUCAUCCAUAUCAACUUUCGAUGCCACUUUCUGCGCCUACCAUGGUGACCACGGGUAACGGGGAAUCAGGGUUUGAUACUGGAGAGAGAGCCUGAGAAAUGGCUACCACAUGCAAGGAAGGCAGCAGGCAGGUAAAUGACCCACUCCUGACGCAGGAAGGUAGUGAUGACAAAUAACAAUACAGGACUCUUUAGAGGCCCUGUAAUUGUAAUGAGUCCAUUUGAAAUCCUUUAACCACACUAUUUGACGCUUCUAUUUGGUUCUAUAAAC